UACGUAGGGGGCAAGCGUUGUCCGGAUUUAUUGGGCGUAAAGAGCGUGUAGGCGGCCAUACAGGUCCGUUGUGAAAACUCGAGGCUUAACCUCGAGACGUCGAUGGAAACCGUAUGGCUAGAGUCCGGAAGAGGAGAGUGGAAUUCCUGGUGUAGCGGUGAAAUGCGUAGAGAUCAUGAGGAAGACCAGUGGCGAAGGCGGGUCUCUGGACAGUUCCUGACACUGAGACACGAAGGCCAGGGGAGCAAACGGG
rnacentral:rRNA from 1 species